rnacentral:rRNA from 1 species
UACAGAGGUCCCAAGCGUUGUUCGGAUUCACUGGGCGUAAAGGGUGCGUAGGUGGCCGUGGAAGUUCGGUGUGAAAGCUCGGAGCUCAACUCCGAAAAGUCAUUGAAUACUCUACGGCUGGAGGGUCGGAGGGGAGACUGGAAUUCUCGGUGUAGCAGUGAAAUGCGUAGAUAUCGGGAGGAACACCAGUGGCGAAGGCGGCCUUCUGGACCAAUACUGACGCUCAUGCACGAAAGCGUGGGGAGCAAACAGG